rnacentral:rRNA from 1 species
AACGUACGCUGGCGGCACGCCUAACACAUGCAAGUCGAACGCAGUAGCAAUACUGAGUGGCAGACGGGUGAGUAACAUGUGGGAAUCUGCCUUGUGGUUCAGGACAACAUUGGGAAACCGAUGCUAAUACUGGAUAAGCCCUUACGGGGAAAGUUUUAAUGCCAUAAGAUGAGCCCGCAUUUGAUUAGUUAGUUGGUGAGGUAAUGGCUCACCAAGACAAUGAUCAAUAGCUGAUCUGAGAGGAUGAUCAGCCACACUGGGACUGAGACACGGCCCAGACUCCUACGGGAGGCAGCAGUGGGGAAUCUUGCACAAUGGAGGAAACUCUGAUGCAGCGAUGCCGCGUGAGUGAAGAAGGCCUUUGGGUUGUAAAGCUCUUUUGUAGGGGAAGAUAAUGACUGUACCCUAAGAAUAAGGUCCGGCUAACUUCGUGCCAGCAGCCGCGGUAAUACGAAGGGACCUAGCGUAGUUCGGAAUUACUGGGCGUAAAGCGCGCGUAGGCCGUUGAGUUAGUUAAUUGUGAAAUCCCAAAGCUUAACUUUGGAACUGCAAUUAAAACUGCUCGACUAGAGUUUGAUAGAGGAAAGCGGAAUACAUAGUGUAGAGGUGAAAUUCGUAGAUAUUAUGU